rnacentral:rRNA from 1 species
GGGGGGGGGGGGGGGGGGGGGUGACGGGGGGGAGGCGGGGGGGAGGGCCGUGCGUUUGGGGGGUGCUCGAGUGGCGAACGGGUGCGUAACACGGGAGUAACCUGCCCUUGACUUUGGGAUAGCUUAAGGAAAGUGGGGCUAAUCCCGGAUAGGAGCUCCUGCUUCCUGGUGGGGGUUGGAAAGUUUCUGCGGUUGGGGAUGGACUCGCGGCUUAUCAGCUGGUUGGUGGGGUAGUGGCUUACCAAGGCUUUGACGGGUAGCCGGCCUGAGAGGGUGACCGGCCACAUUGGGACUGAGAUACGGCCCAGACUCCUACGGGAGGCAGCAGUGGGGAAUAUUGCACAAUGGGCGGAAGCCUGAUGCAGCAACGCCGCGUGCGGGAUGACGGCCUUCGGGUUGUAAACCGCUUUCGCCUGUGACGAAGCGUGAGUGACGGUAAUGGGUAAAGAAGCACCGGCUAACUACGUG